UACGAGUGCCCCAAGCGUUAUCCGGAAUCAUUGGGCGUAAAGGGUGUGUAGGCGGUUGUGUUAGUCUUCUGUCAAAUUCUUCGGCUUAACCGGGGGUCCGCAGGGGAAACGGCACAACUAGAGGAUGCGAGAGGUGAAUGGAACUCAUGGAGUAGGGGUGAAAUCCGUUGAUAUCAUGGGGAACACCAAAAGCGAAGGCAAUUCACUGGCGCACUCCUGACGCUGAGACACGAAAGCGUAGGUAGCGAAUGGG
rnacentral:rRNA from 1 species